UCUUCGUGGUAUAACGGAUAC
rnacentral:piRNA from 1 species